AUGUUCCUGAAACAGUAUGUUGACAAUUGUCAAACAAAAGGGUACAAGCCAGAAAUAACAAGAAGAAACAACUGGACAAUUAAGAACGUAUAGCAAAUUUCUAAGAGACAUCAUUAUCUAUGCCAACUUUUUGGUGCACACUUCUACACAUGAGAGAGAUUUUUACCAUGUUAAUUGGAGUUAGUUUUUAAUGUUAUGGUUUGAAGUUUUCAAGUAAAUGUCCGCAAGCAAUAUAAUGCAUGGACAAAUGUAUGUACUGGGAAAAAAUAAUGUUUUCCCACGUAGCAGGCAGCAGGAGAAUCUCCCAACAACUCCAACUCCAACUCCUCAUUUUUCAAAAGGGUAACCACAUAUCGGCUCUAGAAAAUAUUAAGGCAAAGUGGCAGCAGGAAGUCUUUUACAGAAAGGUAAGUGGAAGCACUUUAUCAGACAGAUAUUUCUGAUUAGAUUAUCCUCCAAGAAAUGAUAGACAUAGUAGUGGCAAUGCAUUGAGAUUUUCAAUUAGAAAAUAAGACUAUAGUUGACUACAAAUUCAAAUGGCAAAUGGAACUAAUUCUGUAUUCUCAAAGGGGGAUGCAAAGCUUCAUAAGACAAAAACCUUCGAAAGUAUCAUAGCUGUACGAUGCAUGGUCAAAGCAUGCCAUGUGCCAUGCUUCAAAUGUCAA
rnacentral:misc_RNA from 1 species